CAGUCGCCACGGGAAUACAGAGGGUGCAAGCGUUAAUCGGAAUUACUGGGCGUAAAGCGCGCGUAGGUGGUUUGUUAAGUUGGAUGUGAAAGCCCCGGGCUCAACCUGGGAACUGCAUCCAAAACUGGCAAGCUAGAGUACGGUAGAGGGUGGUGGAAUUUCCUGUGUAGCGGUGAAAUGCGUAGAUAUAGGAAGGAACACCAGUGGCGAAGGCGACCACCUGGACUGAUACUGACACUGAGGUGCGAAAGCGUGGGGAGCAAACAGGAUUAGAUCCCGAGUAGUCCCUGUCUCUUAUACA
rnacentral:rRNA from 1 species